rnacentral:rRNA from 1 species
GACGAGCCACCCAAACGUUAUUCGGAAUUACUGGGCUUAAAGGGUGCGUAGGCGGUGCGGAAAGUAGGGUGUGAAAUCCCUCGGCUCAACCGAGGAACAGCGCUCUAAACUACCGUGCUUGAGGGAGAUAGAGGUAAGCGGAACUUCGGGUGGAGCGGUGAAAUGCGUUGAUAUCGUAAGGAAGACCAGUGGCGAAGGCGGGUCUCUGGACAGUUCCUGACGCUGAGGCACGAAGGUCAGGGGAGCAAACGGGG